rnacentral:rRNA from 1 species
UGGGGAAUAUUGCACAAUGGGCGCAAGCCUGAUGCAGCCAUGCCGCGUGUGUGAAGAAGGCCUUCGGGUUGUAAAGCACUUUCAGCGAGAAGGAAGGUGGUGGACUUAAUACGUUCAUCAAUUGACGUUACUCGCAGAAGAAGCACCGGCUAACUCCGUGCCAGCAGCCGCGGUAAUACGGAGGGUGCAAGCGUUAAUCGGAAUUACUGGGCGUAAAGCGCACGCAGGCGGUUUGUUAAGUCAGAUGUGAAAUCCCCGGGCUCAACCUGGGAACUGCAUUUGAAACUGGCAAGCUAGAGUCUCGUAGAGGGGGGUAGAAUUCCAGGUGUAGCGGUGAAAUGCGUAGAGAUCUGGAGGAAUACCGGUGGCGAAGGCGGCCCCCCUGGACGAAGACUGACGCUCAGGUGCGAAAGCGUGGGGCAGCAAACAGGAUUAGAUACCCUGGUAGUCACGCUGUAAACGAUGUCGAUUUGGAGGUUGUGCCC